rnacentral:tRNA from 1 species
GCCUGGGUGGCUCAGUCGGUUAAGCGUCUGACUUCAGCUCAGGUCAUGAUCUUGCAGUUUGUGAGUUCGAGCCCCACGUCAGGCU